UCCCGUUCCAGCGUUUGAGUC
rnacentral:misc_RNA from 1 species